rnacentral:tRNA from 1 species
GGGCGAGUGGUGGAAUUGGCAGACACAGCAGUCUUAGAAGCUGCCGCUCCGGCGUAGGGGUUCGAGUCCCCUUUCGCCCACCA